rnacentral:rRNA from 1 species
AGAGUUUGAUUUUGGCUCAGGACGAACGCUGGCGGCGUGCCUAAUACAUGCAAGUCCAGCGAGCUUGCCUAGAUGAUUUUAGUGCUUGCACUAAAUGAAACUGGAUACAAGCGAGCGGCGGACGGGUGAGUAACACGUGGGUAACCUGCCCAAGAGACUGGGAUAACACCUGGGAAACAGAUGCUGAUACCGGAUAACAACACUAGACGCAUGUCUAGAGUUUGAAAGAUGGUUCUGCUAUCACUCUUGGAUGGACCUGCGGUGCAUUAGCUAGUUGGUAAGGUAACGGCUUACCAAGGCAAUGAUGCAUAGCCGAGUUGAGAGACUGAUCGGCCACAUUGGGACUGAGACACGGCCCAAACUCCUACGGGAGGCAGCAGUAGGGAAUCUUCCACAAUGGACGAAAGUCUGAUGGAGCAACGCCGCGUGAGUGAAGAAGGGUUUCGGCUCGUAAAGCUCUGUUGGUAGUGAAGAAAGAUAGAGGUAGUAACUGGCCUUUAUUUGACGGUAAUUACUUAGAAAGUCACGGCUAACUACGUGCCACCAGCCGCGGUAAUACGUAGGUGGCAAGCGUUGUCCGGAUUUAUUGGGCGUAAAGCGAGUGCAGGCGGUUCAAUAAGUCUGAUGUGAAAGCCUUCGGCUCAACCGGAGAAUUGCAUCAGAAACUGUUGAACUUGAGUGCAGAAGAGGAGAGUGGAACUCCAUGUGUAGCGGUGGAAUGCGUAGAUAUAUGGAAGAACACCAGUGGCGAAGGCGGCUCUCUGGUCUGCAACUGACGCUGAGGCUCGAAAGCAUGGGUAGCGAACAGGAUUAGAUACCCUGGUAGUCCAUGCCGU